AUGCAAAUGAAGCAUCACUUUGCUCAUGUAGUGAGCUUGGCAGAAAAACAUUCGGGGAACAAAGCGGGCUGGGUGCGUGAGGCGUGUGGGCGAGAGAGUGAGCUGAUCCAAACAGAGGGGCCGGGCCCAGAAGGGGCAGCCAUGUGUCCCGCCGUCGGCAGAUGGGGACAGGCCCGGCCUUCCCAGCAGGCGAAGCAGGUGAAGCUCCAGACUGAGCAGCUGUGUACCAGGAAAGGACAUUCAGAGCAAGGCAGCCUCUACCCAGACCACUGGGAGUUUUCAUCAAAGGGAAAGAAGACAAGGCACAGCGCAGGGGCUGGUUCUCAAGGCUUCCACACAAAGCUGACCCAAUCAUUCUGCUCACGUUUCACAGGCUGGAACAGGUCUCCUGGAGACCUAAGCAUUCAAGAAAUAGGAAAAUGGGGCAGCCGGGGUGGCCCAGUGGUUUAGCGAUGCCUUCAGCCCAGGACCUGAUCCUGGAGACCCGGGAUCGAGUCCCACCUCGGGCUCCCUGCAUGGAGCCUGCUUCUCCCUCUCCUGUGCCUCUGCCUCUCUCUCUGUGUCUCUCAUGAAUAAAUAAAUAAAAUAUAAAAAAAAAAAAGAAAUAAGGAAUGUAAUCCCCUACCUCAGAAUUUGGCAAACUUCUGUAUAAGGCCUCGUGGUAAGUAUUAUAUACUGUGGGCUGCAUGGUCACUGUUAUAGCCACUCAAUUCUACCAUUUUCAUGAGAAAGCAGGGAUAGAUGAAUAUAAAUAAAUGCAUGUGUGCACCAAUAAAACUUUAUUUAUAAAACCAGGCAGUGGGCCAUAUUCUGCUGAAGGAAGGGGCAGUGGACAUUGCUGAGUAACGGAACAAUCUAGCACACAUUCCUUUGUGUUUUUUACUUCCUCUUCUGGUUAACUCUUGCUGUGUAGCAAAUCACCCCAAGACUCAGUGGCUCAGAGCAAUAUCCACACUUAACAUCAUCUUUCACAGUCCUGGGGACUGAUGGGGCCCUGGGAGGGGGCUCUUACUGGGGUUUGUCGAAUGGUGGCUGUCAGGCAGUGGCUGGAGCUGCAAGCAUCGGAAAGCUCACUCAUGUUCGCAGGUCUAGACUAGCCGCUGGCUCCCUGGCUUCCUUAUGUUUUUGUGUUUCUCCACGUGCUUUCUACAGCAUGGCACCUCUUACUGGGCAGCUCAGGGCUUCACAGGUCAAUGGAGAGAGAGCGAGCGAGAGAGCAACAUAUGCGGUAUUUUGAUGAAAUUCAAUUAAAAUUAGAUAAAAUUUAAAGUUCGGCUGCUGAAGCAUCCCAGCCACAUUUCAAGUUUUCUUGGUGGCUACCGUGACUGCGAGACAGUGCACCAAGCCAAGGGGGAGCCAGGUAGCCUUUACUGAUCUAGUCUCAGAAGUCACACAGCAUCAUUUUGGACUCAUCUGCUGCCAGGCUCGCCCAGGUUCAGAGGGAGGGAGACUUAGAUCUCACCUCCUGAUGCAGGGUGGCCAGGUUCUGGAAGAGCACAGGGGACCCAAAAUAUUGCUAUGGCCAUUUUUAGAAAGAAAUAGGCCCACGAGGCAGGACAUUGUAAGAGCCUAGAGAUCACCUCCAGGCAGCCUUGAGGGCAGAGGCCAGACCCCUCGCUGGGUGAGGUGAAUGCUUCUCUGCACAGUACCUUAUUCCCGGGUGGUGAGGAUGCAGGAAGCUAAUCCCGUAGUGUGGUGCCUGACUCAGAGUGAGCGCUCAGUAAGUGUAGCUGCCAUUAUGUCCCAAUUUUAUUUUAUUUUAUUUUAUUUUAUUUUAUUUUAUUUUAUUUUAUUUUUUAUUUGUAUUUUUAAGAUCUUAUUUAUUUAUUUAUUCAUGAGAGACACAGAGAGGCAGAGACACAGGGAGAAGCAGGCUCCCUGUGGGGACCCCCAUACGGGAAUCAAUUCCAGGACCCCAGGAUCAUGCCCUGAGCCAAAGGCAGAUGCUCAACCACUGAGCCACCCAGGUGCCUCCGUGUCCCAAUUUUAGACACAGAGCGAAAGCCACGUUGGGACUGGGGUAAAGAAUGCCUGUGUCUCUCCAAAACUCCUCUGUUGUAAGCCCAAUCCCAAAGAGAUGGUGUUUGAAAGUGAGGCCUUUAGGAACCCAGUAGGUCAUAAGGGUGGAGCCCCCGUGAAUGGGAUGUGUGUCCUUCUAGAAGAGACCCCAGAAAGGUCCCUUGAACCGUCCAUUGUGUGGGCUACCCACACCCCCACUUCCCACCCAGCACCCCAGUCUGAGCUGAGGGAAGGGAAAAACAACCAAGUUCAUUUCAUUUAAUAAAAAGAUUAAUAAAAAAUAUUGAAAAAAUAUUUUUUCAUCUUAUAUUUGUAAAGAUAAUACAAUUCAGAAGUUUCUUAGAAAACAGACCAGAAACUGCCAUCCAGUUUCAUCUUUUUAUAAAAUGAAACUCCUAUGAUCGAUUAAGGAAGGUGGUUAUGGCUGGGUGGUUAGUGGGAGUUUGUUUUUUCUUUUCCUUUUUUUUUUUUUUAUUAACCAUAAGCUUUAAGUUGAAACAUUCUUGGAUGUUUGGGGGAAAACAUCCUCUUAAAAUGGGUCCUUGUGCUUGCCUUCUGGGGAGGCAGUCCUGAGCAGGUGAAUCAUAUGGCAUUUAUGCAUAUGCUAUAUGCAGACUCUGCCCCCCCCCCCAACCUUUGCCUCUUAGGUUGUUGUGCUUCUUUCCCCUUACUUUGCUACAUUUCUAUCGUUAAGUUGGUUUUACUUGAAUGAUUCAUGUUUAAGGGGAAAAAAAUGAAAACACCUUUAAAAUUUGUUUCAACUCCUCCUGCAAAUAAAAAAAUAAAUGAAGAAAAAAAAAAAGACAACCAAGUUCAGUUGGGGGAUGUGACUAAUAUUAUGGGCUGUGUCCGUGACCUGAAGUGGCCAUGGGGCUACCAUCUUACCAUCUGAAAAACGCCUUGGCAUUUGCCAGCCUUUUUCUCUGAGGGAUGGGGGACAAUGGCUAAGAGGCAGAGGGAGACACAAAUGAGGAAGCGCUGCGUUGACAAGAGUCAGCAGGCACAUUACAUCUAGAAGGAGGACUGGGGUUAUCCCCCCAAGCACAAGCAGUGGUUAUUUGGGCCUGGGUACGUUUGAUAAUUGGCUUUGCUUUAUUCCGUCUGUUUUUCUCUAUUUUGUGAUUUUUUUCUACUGGGGAAUCUGCAUUACUUACAUAAUUGGGAAAAAAAUACUUUUUCUUUUUUUAAUUGUGCAAAAAGUAUGCCUGCAGAAUAGGGAGGUUUUUCUGUGCGGCCGAAUCCUAGAGUGUCGCCACCAAAGGGGCAAAGCGUGGUUGCCAUCCUGCCUGCUGGGGGGGCCUCCUCGACCCCCAGGGCAGCCCCCCUUGUGGGGCACCGGGAUUCUCUUUUUGAGCUGCAUUUGCUCUGCCACCUGGAUCCCUCCCCAGGACAGGAGCCCAGUAAGGCGAUCUGAAGUGGGUCCAAGAUCGUGGGAGAGGAGGAGGAAAAUAAAACCUCAUUGUCUGGGAGAUUUCUGGAGGGCUCCGGGUUAAUUGGGGUGCCAGGAACCGUGUGUGGGAUCUAUAAAGCCCACUCCUCCGCCGUGGCCCCGGCAACUUCUGGAACACUCUUUAAUUAAUAUCUGUCCUUUUCUGCAGUGGUUUCCGGGUCCCUGAUCAGACAAUUGAAAUGUUCUCCUGGAAACAAAGACUCGUUUGGAGGUGCUGGG
rnacentral:lncRNA from 1 species